GUACACACCGCCCGUCGCUACUACCGAUUGAAUGGCUCAGUGAGGCCUUGGGACUGGCUCAGGAGGGUUGGCAACGACCCCCCAGAGCCGGAAACUUGGUCAAACUCGGUCAUUUAGAGGAAGUAAAAGUCGUAACAAGGUUUCCGUAGGUGAACCUGCGGAAGGAUCAUUA
rnacentral:rRNA from 1 species